UACGAAGGGGGCUAGCGUUGCUCGGAAUCACUGGGCGUAAAGGGCGCGUAGGCGGCCAUUCAAGUCGGGGGUGAAAGCCUGUGGCUCAACCACAGAAUUGCCUUCGAUACUGUUUGGCUUGAGUCUGGUAGAGGUUGGUGGAACUGCGAAGUGUAGAGGUGAAUUCGUAGAUAUUCGCAAGAACACCGGUGGCGAAGGCGGCCAACUGGACCAGUACUGGACGCUGAAGGCGCGAAAGCGUGGGGAGCAAACAGG
rnacentral:rRNA from 1 species